AGACCCGAAACCCGGUGAUCUAGCCAUGGGCAGGUUGAAGGUUGGGUAACACUAACUGGAGGACCGAACCGACUAAUGUUGAAAAAUUAGCGGAUGACCUGUGGCUGGGGGUGAAAGGCCAAUCAAACCGGGAGAUAGCUGGUUCUCCCCGAAAGCUAUUUAGGUAGCGCCUCGUGAAUUCAUCUCCGGGGGUAGAGCACUGUUUCGGCUAGGGGGCCAUCCCGGCUUACCAACCCGAUGCAAACUGCGAAUACCGGAGAAUGUUAUCACGGGAGACACACGGCGGGUGCUAACGUCCGUCGUGAAGAGGGAAACAACCCAGACCGCCAGCUAAGGUCCCAAAGUCAUGGUUAAGUGGGAAACGAUGUGGGAAGGCCCAGACAGCCAGGAUGUUGGCUUAGAAGCAGCCAUCAUUUAAAGAAAGCGUAAUAGCUCACUGGUCGAGUCGGCCUGCGCGGAAGAUGUAACGGGGCUAAACCAUGCACCGAAGCUGCGGCAGCGAACGUAUCACUUAAAGCGAUUCAGCGGGUUACGAUUGACGGAGCGAAGCGACGUCAAAGCGUAUACAAAGUCGAGUCGGUUUAAGGAUACGUUCGUUGGGUAGGGGAGCGUUCUGUAAGCCCGUGAAGGUGGCCUGUGAGGGUUGCUGGAGGUAUCAGAAGUGCGAAUGCUGACAUAAGUAACGAUAAAGCGGGUGAAAAGCCCGCUCGCCGGAAGACCAAGGGUUCCUGUCCAACGUUAAUCGGGGCAGGGUGAGUCGACCCCUAAGGCGAGGCCGAAAGGCGUAGUCGAUGGGAAACGGGUUAAUAUUCCCGUACUUGGUGUUACUGCGAAGGGGGGACGGAGAAGGCUAUGUUGGCCGGGCGACGGUU
rnacentral:rRNA from 1 species